ensembl:lncRNA
AAUCUUCCUUACUUUCUGCAGGGGAAGAUAGAUGGGAAGAGGAAAUCUCUGAGCUAGCCAUUGCUGAGAAAGCAUGAGAUUUUCGGGUUUGCGAAAUCUUUUGCAUGGGACCUGUAUCUCAGAGCAGAGGGGAUCUCUCCCCCUAUUCUCACACCUCAUCAUUUGGUGGCAUGUACAGGGAUCAAACCUGCGACCUUGGCGUUAUCAGGACUUGGAACUUCCAUUUCUGAGAUUCUGAGGUACAGUAUUAUUGUUGAGGUUAGCAAAGGGGACUCUAAAAGUCUGGGAUUAUAGACAGGUGAUACGAGGUGUCUCAAAAGAAUCUGCAGGCUUGAACCAAUCUCUUAGUCAAGGGGCAAAGUUUAUUGUUAAUAGCACCAUUACAAAAGCAGGCUGGAAUUCUUAUUUUAUUUUAUUUAAUAGCCUUUUAUUUACAGGUUAUAUGUAUGGGUAACUUUACAGCAUUGACAAUUGCCAAACCUCUUGUUCCAAUUUUUCCCCUCUUUCCCCACACCCCCUCCCCCAGAUGGCAGGAUGACCAGUAGAUGUUAAAUACGUUAAAAUAUAAAUUAGAUACACAAUAAGUAUUCAUGAACAAACCAUUAUUUUGCUGUAUAAAAAGAAUCAGACUCUGAAAUAUUGUACAAUUAGCUUGUGAAGGAAAUAAAAAAUGCAGAUGGGCAUAAAUAUGGGGAUUGGGAAUUCAAUGUAAUGGUUUUUAGUCAUCUCCCAGAGUUCUUUUUCUGGGCAUAGCUAGUUCAGUUCAUUACUGCUCCAUUAGAAAUGAUUUGGUUGAUCUCGUUGCUGAGGAUGGCCUGAUCCAUCAGAACUGGUCAUCAUCUAGUAUUGUUGUUGAAGUAUAUAAUGAUCUCCUGGUCCUGCUCAUUUCACUCAGCAUCAGUUCGUGUAAGUCUCUCCAGGCCUUUCUGAAAUUAUCCUGUUGGUCAUUUCUUACAGAACAGUAAUAUUCCAUAACAUUCAUACACACAAUUUAUUCAGCCAUUCUCCAACUGAUGGGCAUGCGGGCUAGAAUUCUAAGAGAAUUCAGAAGAGAAACAGAAGCAAGGAGAUAACUUUUGUCCAGCUUUCAAUCACAGAUAUGCUAAUUCUAUAGUUCAUAGGAAGGAAGGACUGGUCUCCAGAAUCGGGCAGAUUGUCAGAACAAUAGCAUCCCUAGAUUUGGGGGGGAGAGGGAGGAAGCCAGAGGACUUUGGAAUCAGAUUGCUAGAACAGUAGCCCCAAGGUCAGGGAACCCCAAAACUACUGCUAUAUUUCCCUAGAAGCUAUAUUAUAUCAUUAUAAUCAUGAAUUUUGAACUGAUGGAAACCUGCAGUUAUAAAACUUAUGUCAAUUAUAUGAAAAUUGGAUGAGACUUUAGUUUCCAGAGAGUUGCAAAAAUUGGAGAAAUACAGAGAAUGAAACUUAAAUUAGAAAAAUAAAAUUGAAGCCUAAGAAAUGAAGGCUAGGACAUUAAGAUGAAGAACAAGGAAACAAAAAGUAAUAGAAGGAAAAUGUAGUCCAGUGGGAGAUUCAGAUUUUAAAAGGAAAGGAAAAUACAACCAGGGAUAGGGAUUUAAAAUAAACACUGUCGUAAAAUGUAACCAGAGGUGGAGAAACACUUGCUUGUGGG